rnacentral:pre_miRNA from 2 species
AGUAGAAUUGCUAGGUUAUAUGGUAACUAUAUGUUUAUGCUUUUGAGGAACUGACAGACUGUUUUCCAAGGUAGCUGAACCAUUUUACAUUCCCACCAGCAAU